rfam:Oryza meridionalis cultivar OR44 (W2112) chromosome 6, whole genome shotgun sequence.
UUUAAGUACAACUUUCCGUGUCCAACUUUAAUCGUCCGUCUUAUUUAAUUUUUUUUAUAAUUUUUAUUUUUAUUGUUAUGAGAUAAUAAAAUUUGAAUAGUACUUUAUAUGUGAUUUAUGUUUUUUAAAAAAAUUUAAAUAAGAUAGACGGUCAAAAUUAUACAUGGAAAAUCAUGGAUAGAUUUAAA